GAUGAACGCUGGCGGCGUGCCUAAUACAUGCAAGUCGAGCGAACGGACGAGAAGCUUGCUUCUCUGAUGUUAGCGGCGGACGGGUGAGUAACACGUGGAUAACCUACCUAUAAGACUGGGAUAACUUCGGGAAACCGGAGCUAAUACCGUAUAAUAUUUUGAACCGCAUUGUUCAAUAGUGAAAGACGGUCGUGCUGUCACUUAUAGAUGGAUCCGCGCUGCAUUAGCUAGUUGGUAAGUUAACGGGUUACCAAGGCAACUAUGCAUAGACGACCUGAGAGGGUGAUCGGCCACACUGGAACUGAGACACGGUCCAGACUCCUACGGGAGGCAGCAGUAGGGUAUCUUCCGCAAUGGGGGAAAGCCUGACGGAGCAACGCCGAGUGAGUGAUGAAGGUCUUCGGAUCGUAAAACUCUGUUAUUAGGGAAGAACAUAUGUGUAAGUAACUGUGCACAUCUUGACGGUACCUAAUCAGAAAGCCACGGCUAACUACGUG
rnacentral:rRNA from 1 species